rnacentral:rRNA from 1 species
UGCCUACGGGAGGCAGCAGUGGGGAAUAUUGCACAAUGGGGGAAACCCUGAUGCAGCGACGCCGCGUGAGUGAGGAAGUAUUUCGGUAUGUAAAGCUCUAUCAGCAGGGAAGAAGAUGACGGUACCUGACUAAGAAGCCCCGGCUAACUACGUGCCAGCAGCCGCGGUAAUACGGAGGAUGCGAGCGUUAUCCGGAUUUAUUGGGUUUAAAGGGUGCGUAGGCGGUCCGUUAAGUCAGCGGUAAAAUUGCGGGGCUCAACCCCGUCGAGCCGUUGAAACUGGCAGACUUGAGUUGGCGAGAAGUA